rnacentral:rRNA from 1 species
UACAGAGGGGGCAAGCGUUGUUCGGAAUUACUGGGCGUAAAGCGUGUGUAGGCGGUCCACUAAGUCGGGUGUGAAAGCCCUGGGCUCAACCCAGGAAGUGCACUCGAAACUGGCGGGCUUGAGUAUCGGAGAGGUUGGUGGAAUUCUCGGUGUGAGAGGUGAAAUUCGUAGAUAUCGAGAGGAACACCGGUGGCGAAGGCGGCCAACUGGACGAAUACUGACGCUGAGACACGAAAGCGUGGGGAGCAAACAGG